CCGAAGGAUAGUAAAUGUUGUGCAGUGCUCACACAGAUUGUCUGAUGAAAGAAGAGACGGUAUCGGCAUAGGCUUGUAGCUCAGGUGGUUAGAGCGCACCCCUGAUAAGGGUGAGGUCGGUGGUUCAAGUCCACUCAGGCCUACCAAAUCUUUCUUAUCCUGCGUUAUAACCAGACGCGCUUAUUUCAAUAAGCUUCGCCUGUUUAUGCCUUGGCUAAGCAAGAUUGCUGUGCAUCACGAUAUCCAAAUGGGGCUAUAGCUCAGCUGGGAGAGCGCCUGCCUUGCACGCAGGAAGUCAGCGGUUCGAUCCCGCUUAGCUCCACCAUACUCUUCGCAGGAAAUCUGGAUUUCAGAACACAUGGGUUUGCGUGUGUUGUGAAAUCUUUGCUCUUUAACAAUCUGGAACAAGCUGAAAAUUUGAAACACUCAGUACCGUCGAACGGUAUUGAUGAAUCUCUCAAAAACUCCAGUCCGAAGACACCUUCGGGUUGUGA
rnacentral:misc_RNA from 1 species